UGGAGACUUGAGCCCAGGAAGCCUAAAUCACUUGUCUGAGGCCUCACAGCAGGAGCCGGGACCAGUACCCCUAGUGAUGACUUCAGGCUUAGGUCACCGUUUCACAUCUCACCAUAAUCAGAGGGUGGACUCCCCAUUCUUCACUCAGCAACCAGAGUUGCUGAAAGGCAGGUCCUACUGAUGCUCCGAGAGCUGAAAAUGUGAGAAGGUGAUGAAACGGACCAGAGUACUCCUCGCCAGCGGGACACAGGGCUUUCCAAAGCACAGGCUCCGGACGCGCAGGCUCAGCGGCCAUGGCUCACGAC